rnacentral:tRNA from 1 species
GAUAGUGUGGUGCAGUGGUUAGAAUGUCAUACUGGGAUUUAGGAGACCCAGGUUCGAAACCCUGCUUUACCA